rnacentral:rRNA from 1 species
GACGAACGCUGGCGGCGUGCUUAACACAUGCAAGUCGAACGGAAAGGCCCUGCUUUUGUGGGGUGCUCGAGUGGCGAACGGGUGAGUAACACGUGAGUAACCUGCCCUUGACUUUGGGAUAACUUCAGGAAACUGGGGCUAAUACCGGAUAGGAGCUCCUGCUGCAUGGUGGGGGUUGGAAAGUUUCGGCGGUUGGGGAUGGACUCGCGGCUGAUCAGCUUGUUGGUGGGGUAGUGGCUUACCAAGGCUUUGACGGGUAGCCGGCCUGAGAGGGUGACCGGCCACAUUGGGACUGAGAUACGGCCCCGACUCCUACGGGAGGCAGCAGUGGGGAAUAUUGCACAAUGGGCGGAAGCCUGAUGCAGCAACGCCGCGUGCGGGAUGACGGCCUUCGGGUUGUAAACCGCUUUCGCCUGUGACGAAGCGUGAGUGACGGUAAUGGGUAAAGAAGCACCGGCUAACUACGUG